UACAGAGGGUGCGAGCGUUAAUCGGAAUUAUUGGGCGUAAAGGGCGCGUAGGCGGAUUUUCAAGUGGUAGGUAAAAGACCUGGGCUUAACCUGGGGGUGUCCUAUCAGACUGAGAGUCUAGAAUGAGGUAGAGGAAGGCGGAAUUCCUGGUGUAGCGGUGAAAUGCGUAGAUAUCAGGAAGAACAUCGAUGGCGAAGGCAGCCUUCUGGGCCUAAAUUGACGCUGAGGCGCGAAAGCGUGGGGAGCGAACAGG
rnacentral:rRNA from 1 species